GUGUUGUACUGGAGUGGAGAAGGUUAACAACAUACCUCCUUGAAAGGAUGGAGGGACUACUGGGCCUUGCCUCAUACCUAGAGGCAUUUCUACUUACCUUGUGGCAUCAAACCACUGUUUUUU
ensembl:snRNA LOC120098406 U6atac minor spliceosomal RNA